rnacentral:rRNA from 3 species
UACGUAGGUGGCAAGCGUUGUCCGGAAUUAUUGGGCGUAAAGGGCGCGCAGGCGGCGUCGUAAGUCGGUCUUAAAAGUGCGGGGCUUAACCCCGUGAGGGGACCGAAACUGCGAUGCUAGAGUAUCGGAGAGGAAAGCGGAAUUCCUAGUGUAGCGGUGAAAUGCGUAGAUAUUAGGAGGAACACCAGUGGCGAAAGCGGCUUUCUGGACGACAACUGACGCUGAGGCGCGAAAGCCAGGGGAGCAAACGGG